rnacentral:rRNA from 1 species
UACAGAGGGUGCAAGCGUUGUUCGGAAUUAUUGGGCGUAAAGGGAGUGUAGGCGGUUGGGAAAGUCUUCUGUGAAAUCUACGGGCUCAGCCUGUAAAGUGCAGAGGAAACUACUCGGCUUGAGUGUCGGAGAGGAUAGGGGAAUACCCGGUGUAGAGGUGAAAUUCGUAGAGAUCGGGUGGAACACCAGUGGCGAAGGCGCCUAUCUGGCUGACAACUGACGCUGAGACUCGAAAGCAUGGGGAGCAAACAGG